UACAUGGGGUGCAAACGUUGCUCGGAAUUAUUGGGCGUAAAGCGCACUUAGGCGGUUUGUUAAGUCGGAUGUGAAAUCCCUCGGCUCAACUGAGGAAGUGCAUCCGAAACUGGCAGGCUUGAGUACUAAAGAGGGUCGCGGAAUUCCCGGUGUAGAGGUGAAAUUCGUAGAUAUCGGGAGGAACACCGGUGGCGAAGGCGGCGACCUGGGUAGAUACUGACGCUGAGGUGCGAAAGCGUGGGGAGCAAACAGG
rnacentral:rRNA from 1 species